rnacentral:rRNA from 1 species
CGUGGGUAAUCUGCCCUAGAGUGGGGAAUAACAUCGGGAAACCGAUGCUAAUACCGCAUACGAUCAUGGAGUCUUCGGAUUUUGUGAUGAAAGGAGCAAUCCGCUCUUGGAGGAGCCCGCGGCUGAUUAGCUAGUUGGUAAGGUAAUGGCUUACCAAGGCAACGAUCAGUAUCCGGUCUGAGAGGACGGUCGGACACACUGGGACUGAGACACGGCCCAG